rnacentral:rRNA from 1 species
CCUACGGGAGGCAGCAGUGAGGAAUAUUGGUCAAUGGCCGGAAGGCUGAACCAGCCAAGCCGCGUGAAGGACGAAGGUGCCACGCAUUGUAAACUUCUUUUGUCAAGGGACAAAAUCAGGCUCGAGAGCCUGACCGAGGGUACUUGAAGAAAAAGCAUCGGCUAACUCCGUGCCAGCAGCCGCGGUAAUACGGAGGAUGCGAGCGUUAUCCGGAUUUAUUGGGUUUAAAGGGUGCGUAGGGGGGCUGUUAAGUCAGCGGUAAAAGCCCGGGGGUAAACCCCGGCGUGCAGGUGAAACUGGCAGUCUGGAGUAGUGGAGAGGUAGGCGGAAUGCGCGGUGUAGCGGUGAAAUGCUUAGAUAUUGCGCAGAACUCCGAUUGCGAAGGCAGCAUACCGGCGGCGAUCUGACGCUGAGGCACGAAAGCGUGGGUAUCGAACAGGAUUAGAUACCCGUGUAGUC